UACCUAGGCGAUUCCGACGGCGAGGGAGCGAGUACGGCGGCGGCUUGGUCGCAACGAUGUCGGCGGCGGCUCGACGAGUUCCGGGCUUAGGGUUUUGGGGGUUCGCGCGGCGCUUGAAGGCGAUUAGGUUUCCUAGGGAGGCGUGCGACGCUCUAUGCAAGGCUUUUAUAGGCUCGGGUGAACCUCGGGAGGCGCGCGGGUCCACACCCGAGGCGGCGGCGUUCUUCCCC
rnacentral:lncRNA from 1 species